rnacentral:lncRNA from 1 species
GGGAACCGCCGCAGGGCUCGGGGGAGGAGGGGAUUGAAGCCGGUCGGGAGCGGGACCCCAGUUCCACUUCCCCUGAUUCUCUUCUCCUUUCACUCCCUGCGAGUUUCCCCUCGAACUGAAGGCAGGUGGGGAAGGUCAGGCUUUGAUAGCAACAUUUGCUGCUCAGUGCUGUCAGUCCCCCCCCCCAAAUCCCUCGCUCAAGCUGAUCUUCCUGAUAUCCAAGAGCUUUUUGAGGUGUUAAUUUGUGCCAGAAGACACUGGGGUGGGGGUACCUGGAGGAAAAACCACGCAGAGCAAAAAACCACUCUCUGCUCAGCAGCAAGACUUCUGUCUCCCAAGACUUCUCUCUGCAAACCACUUGAAAAGCCUCUGCCCAAAGAGCUCAUCCUGUUGUGUGUGUUUGCAGCUUUCUCCCGUGGGCAGGUUUUGCAAUCUCGACCUGAAAUCUGCUUUGCCAGCGCAGGCUGUGAAAAGCUAGUGAAUCGGUUUUUUUGCAAAAGUUCCGGUGUUUUCAUCUUCAUCACCUUCUCUCCUCCUUCUCUGAGACACCUGCUCCCUCUGAGAGGUGCUGGGUGCCAUGGCAGCAAAAAAACCCCCAGCUUUUCCUGGUCCCCUCCCUCGGUGGGUGCCUGGACGGCUGCUCUCCCCCAAACCCAGCGGUGCUGGUGGGACCUAGUGCUGCUGCUGGCUCCAGAUCAACCCCAAAACCUGGUCUGGGAUGUCUCCUCACCUGGAGGCAUGGCAGGAGUGCUGUGGAGAGCAUCCCCAGGAAAAUGGGGGCACAGAUGGGGUCCUGGGGGGAUGAGGUGCUGCAGGGUGGCCUCUGUUGGAGCGUGGUGUGAAAGAAAGAGCCUUUACUCUUUGUUUCCUCCCGUCAGGGUGAUAAAUGCAGGGAAGAGCCAGCACAAUGAGGACCAGGCGUGCUGCGAGGUGGUGUUUGUGGAGAGGAAGCCCAGCCCCAGGGGCCACCCGCCGUCCAGGGAAGGUGGCGAGGAGCUGGAGGGGGUGAGAGCCGGGGUGGCCAACGCAGGGAGGGAGGAUGCCCAGUGGCAGGAUGAGACAAGGGGCACGUGGUGA